UUGCGCAGGGAAUUGUGGGGAGAGUUGAGGUGUAUCUCCGCUGCAGAGACCUGAGGUUUGCGGCGCUGGGCCCGGCCGGGUUGCUGCGUCGGGGCUGGAGGUGAGGCGAAAGAAGGACAACCUCUGAUGGGAGUGGACCGGAGUCCGCUAAAGCGAAACAUUCCAGGGUCAAGGAUGCAUUCCAGGAAAGUUCCAUAAAAAUAUACCAUCAGCUCCAACCCGAUAUUUGACCUAGCCAUGGAAAACCUCAUUGGCUCCUCACUAGAUCAGACCAUAAAAAUGAUUCAGGAAUGAAAAUCUAAGAUAAAUUCCCACCACUUCAAGAUGUUCUUAUACAAGUCAACAGUCUAGCAGAUCAGCUAGUCUCUUUCAUCAUCAAGCAGACAUACUCAAGAAAGAGGAAUAGUGAAGUGAAAUAUACAGAAGCAUGUUCAAGUUCAUCUGUUGAAUCUGGAAUUGUGAAUAGUGACAAUAUUGAGAAAAAUACUGACUCCAGUCUGCAAACUUCAAGUUCAUUUGAGCCGCAUUUCAAAAAGAAAAAAAAGAAAAAUUUGAAACAUUAAGGGAAAACAGUUGGGUAAAAGAUCCAUUUGCUUUUCGAAACCCUGAAUCAAUAAUUGAGCUAAACUUGGUGCCUGAAGAAGAGAAUGAAUUAUUGCAGCUUAGUUCUUCAUAUACGUUGAAGAAUGAUUAUGAGACCUUAAGUUUAUCAGCAUUUUGGAUUAAGGCACAAGGUGAAACUGACAUCGGGAAAAGGAAGCUGAAUGGUCCUCGGGGGCUGAUCUGCAGGGUGUUGGACUUCGGGAUAUAGCAGAGAGAGAGCUUGGCAUGAUUUGUUGCCCCAAGCCAUAGAAUCCUGGAAGAGAGCUACCAUGCAGCCCAUUCCUGGUCAACUGGGAGGCAAGUGGAAAGGGGACUCUCUGGCCCUCCAGCUAGCCGUGCACACAAGCGUAACAACUGCUUUUAUUUAAUGUGCUUGGGAGGUGAGCAUGCGCAAUGUGUUUAGGAAGCUGUAUGCAUGCCAUCUGAGGCUUUCUUCCAUUUUCCAGGAGAGUGCCCCUGGAAGGUCAUACUCCACCAUUUUGUCUCUUAAUGUACAUGACCUGGAAGUUGCUUCUCCCUGGUCUCUGCAUUCAAUUAACAGUUUAGUGCCUCAGGUGUGGACCAUCAGGAAAUGGCCUCUCCCUGGUGUCAGCUGCCAAUUUAUCACUUUUAAAGAGGCAAUGUAAUAAAUGUAAUAACCGCCAGACCAUCACCCAACAUUCCUAGUGGGCGGGGGAAGAACCCUCUCCUGCCCCACUCAUGCCUAAUUACAUGUAACACACAGAACUUUUUCUUUUUUUUCUUUUUUAAGCUCAUCAGCUAGUGUUAGUGUUUUUUAAUGUGUGGCUGAAGUUAGUGUUAUAUUAGUGUUAGUGUUUUUUAUGUGUGGCUUAUUCCAGUGUGGCCAAGGGAAGCCACAAGAUUGGACAACCCUGUUUUUUGGAUACAUACCUUUGUCAGAUACAUGUAUUGCAAGUACCUCCCAAUUUGUGGAUUGCUCAUUUUCUUAGUGGUGCUUUUUGAAGAGCAGAAUUUUUUAGCUUUGAUGAAUGUCAAUACAUAAAUUUGUGUUUUGGCUUUUAGUAUGUAGAACAAAAAUUAAAUUUUAAGGCCUUCAGCCAUCCGAAUGGAUCCUUCCUCUAGCGAAGGGCAUUCCAGAGUUACCUGAAAAUCUAGUUCAGGCCAUGAUGCAAGAGGGGCUUGGACAUUAUACCCCUCCAGCAUUAACAUCAACACAGACCUUAAGUCUGAUAAGACACAUUUACAGUCUAUUCUCUCUAAAGCCUGCUAACACUGGAGGCUUCAUCUGCAUGAUAAAACCUCUCCACAACUUCUUAUUGUAACCUAGACAUUCCUUUCAACUGAUAGUAACUCUUUCAACCAAUUGCCAAGCAGAAAAUUUUUAAACCUACCUAUGACCUGGAAAUUCUCCUCCCCAGCUUUGAAUUGUCCUGCCCUUCCACAUCGAACCAAUGUAAAUCUUACAUGUAUUGACUGAUGUAUUAUGUCUCCCUAGUACAAAAGCAAGCUGUACCCCAGCCACCUUGAACACAUGUCAUCAGUACCUCCUGAGGCUGUGUGACAGGUGUCACUGGUGUUGUCCUUAACCUUGGCAAAAUAAACUUUCUAAAUUGACUGAGACCUGUCUUAGAUAUCUUAGGUUCAUAGGUGUUAUAACUAAGACAUUUUUGCUUAUAAGUUUUUAUAUUUUCAGAUUUUAUGUUACGCCUAUAACAUAUUUUUUGGUUAAUUUUUAUGUAUGGUGUGAGGUUCUUUUUCUUUUUUUAUGCAGAUAUUCAGUACCAUAUGUUUAAAAAGACCAUCUUGGUCAGGUACUGUGGCUCACACCUAUAAUCUCAGCACUUUGGAAGGCCGAGGCAGGUGGACUGCUUGAGUCCAGGAAUUGGAGGACAGCCCGGGCAACAUGAAAAAACCCCAUCUCUACAAAAACUAGAAAAAGUAGCUGGGUGUGGUGGCACACAUCUGUAGUCCCAGCUACUGGGGUGGGGAUAGGGGCUGAGGUGGGAGGAUCACCUAAGCCCAGGAGGUCAGGUUAUAGUGAGCUGUGAUCAUGCCAUUGCACUCCAGCCUGGCCAGCAGAGUGAGACACUGUCUCAUAAAUAAAUAAAUAAAUAAACUACCUAUAACUCCA
rnacentral:lncRNA from 1 species